rnacentral:SRP_RNA from 1 species
GCCAGGCGUGGUGGCACGCGCCUGUAGUCCCAGCUACCAGGAGGCUGAAACAGGAGGAUCGCUUGAGCCCAGAGGUUGAGGCUACAGUGAGCCAUGACUGUGCCACUGCACUCCAGCCUGGGCAACAAAGUGAGAUCCUGUCUCCA